UACAGAGGGUGCGAGCGUAAUCGGAAUUACUGGGCGUAAAGCGUGCGUAGACGGUAGCGUAAGUCAGAUGUGAAAGCCCCGGGCUCAACCUGGGAAUUGCAUUUGAGACUGCUCUGCUCGGGUGCGGAAGAGGGAAGCGGAAUUUCCGGUGUAGCGGUGAAAUGCGUAGAUAUCGGGAAGGAACACCAGUGGCGAAAAGCGGCUUCCUGGUCCGACACCGACGGUCAGGCACGAAAAGCGUUGGGG
rnacentral:rRNA from 1 species